GACGAACGCUGGCGGCGUGCCUAAUACAUGCAAGUCGAGCGCUGAAGGUUGGUACUUGUUCCAACUGGAUGAGCAGCGGACGGGUGAGUAACGCGUGGGGAAUCUGCCUUUGAGCGGGGGACAACAUUUGGAAACGAAUGCUAAUACCGCAUAAAAACUUUAAACACAAGGUUUAAGUUUGAAAGAUGCAAUUGCAUCACUCAAAGAUGAUCCCGCGUUGUAUUAGCUAGUUGGUGAGGUAAAGGCUCACCAAGGCGACGAUACAUAGCCGACCUGAGAGGGUGAGCGACAAGAUUGGACCGGAGACACGUACCAGACUCCUAAGGAAGGCAGCAGUGGGGAAGCGGCCGAAGGGGGCGAAAGCCUGACGGAGAAACGCAGCGUGAGUGAUGAAGGUCUUCGGAUCGUAAAAAUCUGUUAUUAGGGAAGAACAAAUGUGGAAGUAACUAUGCACGUCUUGACGGUACCUAAGCAGAAAGACACGGCUAACUACGUG
rnacentral:rRNA from 1 species